GCCCAGGUUCCCCGCGCUCCCCGCUUUGGGCCCUUCCUCCCACCGUCACUCGGCCCCCUCCGCCCGACUCGGGUUUCUCCUGAGGCGGCCCCUCCUCCUUUUUACAACUCGGGAGAGGGGAGCGGGGACUGUGGCCUCGCGUGGACUGUUUGGGUCCAGGGGGAAAGAAGCGAUCCUCAAGGCGCACCCCCUUCUCGCCCCGUCCCAAACCACCCAUUGAGGACCCGGCGACCCGAAAGCCCCGCCAGAGCCAGUCUUUGCAGUCCUAACGCGACUCCCGGUCACGUCUCUCCCCGCAGGGGCGCUGCGCGGUCCUCGCUCCCCGCAAAAGCUGCUGGCGAAGGAGCCCCUGCUCAGGAAUGCGCAUCUGAGUGCACCAGGAAAAGGAACAAAUCUUUGAAGCAAAUUCCCUUUCUGCGCGUUUUCCCCCCUGAGCGAAUUCAGGGUAAAAGUUUUUCCGAACUUUUCCCUCCCAGUCCCCCGCCCCUCCCCUCAGGAAUCCGCCCAGAGCGCUGCGGACACCGCCUCCGCCGCUCCCGCGUCCGCCCCUUCCGACUUCCGCCCAAUCCAAAGGCGGCCACCGAAAAAACAAAGGCUGCCAUUGGGCCGCCGGGACCUGGGGCCGCCCCCGGAGUGGUUUGUGAAUGGGGGGGAGGGGGAGGGGCGAGCCGGUCCAGAACCCCGCGAGCCCGACGCUUCUUCUGGCGACCAGCGCGACUCCGAGGCGUUAGUCGGCGCUCCCCUCCCCGGCGGGCGGCGGCGGCGGGCGCCAGGACUUGCGGCUGGGGCUGCGCGGGGCUGGAGGGAGGCCAGGGCCAGGCCGCGGGCACGAGCGCCUCGCGGUUUCGGACGCAGUGUGACUGGAUUUCCAAAAAGAACUCGCCGCGCUCCCGACUCUGGGGCCGAGAUCGGACUCAGCGAGAGCCGGCCGUUUGGCUGAAACUUGGGGCCGAGGUUUUGGGGUUGAAGAAGGAGUGGGGUGUGGAGGAGGAGGCGAAGGAGGCGGCGGCGAGCGGAGCCUGGAGGCCAGGAGGCAGGGCAGCACCGCGGAGGCGGCGGCUGGGGCGAGCGGGCGGCGGCGCCAGGGGUUCUCCAGGAGGGGUUCUCCUGGAGGGGCCCGAGCCGGGGCCGUGCGCGCUGCCGUGCGCCGGGGGUCCAGAGACUUGGGCAAACUUUGAAGGGUGCCCGGAGCCGCUUGUUGCUCCUCGCGGCGGAGGGAGCCUCACCGUUAAGUCCUCGCGGGGAGAGCAAGGCGGCCCUCCUCGGCGCCCCCAACCCAGGCUGACGAGUUUUGGGCCCCCGGCGGCCCUGCGAGUGCCGGGCGGCGGCGGCUGCGGCGCCCCCGCGGCGCGGGCACCCAGGCGGCAGCGCCCUUUGCUCCACGCCGCCCACGGCCCGGCCCCGGCGCCGUGA
rnacentral:lncRNA from 1 species